GGCUGUAGCUCAGUGGCAGAGCAUCUGCCUUGCAUGCAGAAAGUCCCAAAUUCGGAUCCCGACAUCUCUGGGUAGGGCUG